rnacentral:lncRNA from 1 species
UUUCAUGGUUGGCUCUAGGUCACCAUUCUUUUUUACUCCCAGAAUCACAUCUGUACUUGCAGCUUCAUUUACCAUCUGGACACAAAGACUUGCAGAUUUAUGUCAUCAUCCAAUAUCUUAUCCCCUUGAAACCCAGAAGACAGCAUUUCUAAGAGAACAAGCUCAGGCCUGCCUGAUAGAAGCCAGCAGACAAUGUGGAGCAGAGUGUUUCAGAGAAAAACUCUGCACAUCAAAUGAUUUAGAAAUUAAAAUGAGAUGUGUCCCAAGAGGUGAGUGGUUGUAA